CCUGCAGCAGCAGCGGCGUGGUCAGAGCGAGCUUCGGAGAAGCAGUGGUGGGUUCCAUGUGAUGGUGGAGUAGGAGGCAGGUCUCCGCGGUUCAUCUGUGUUGCUCUAAAUGACACUGCUUCAUUAUUUUGAUGGCUGGAGAAUAUUUCCUAGUGUAUGUAUAUGAGAGUUUCUUGAUCUCUUUAUCUGUGGAUGAACAGGCUAGUCACCCUGCUGUGGAAUAGAAGGCCAGAAUUGAUCAGUCUCAUCUGAGAGUAACUUUGUACCCAUCACUGAUUCCUUCUGAGACUGCCUCCACUUCCCCAGCAGCCUCUGGUUUCUUCAUGUGGCUGCAGAUGGCAGGAUUUCCCAAAGGUUUCUGGCUGAAACAUAUUCCGUGGUGUAUCUGUACAGCAGUUUCCUCAUCCCUGCAGCUGUGUUUGAACAGGUCAUUUACCAUGCUGUCCUCCAGGUUCAACAGUAUGGCUCCAAAUGAUGAAAUUUCAUUCUGAUUUUCUGGCUGAAGACUAUUCUCUUUGUGUAUGUCCACCACAGUUACUUUAUCCCUUCAUCUGUGGAUGGGCAGUCUCGCUGUAUUGCCCAGGCUGGAGUGCAGUGGCAUGAUCUCAGCUCACUGCAAGCUCUGCUUCCUGGGUUCACGCCAUUCUCCUGCCUCAGCCUCCUGAGUAGCUGGGAUUACAGGCACCCGCCACCACGCCCAGAAUGAAACAUAUAUGGAAAUGUUCUGUGCAAUCAAAACAGCAGUGGUAACAGAGGAGAUGUAGGCUCUGAGUGUCUCACUGGAGACUGAAGUCCACAGAUAUGCAACAAAGCCUUUGUCUCCCUGAUGUUUUUGCCUCCUGCUGGUCAUGUGCUUUCACACAUCAAGAGAGGACAUUUAACAUUUGA
rnacentral:lncRNA from 1 species